rnacentral:rRNA from 1 species
GACGAACGCUGGCGGCGUGCUUAACACAUGCAAGUCGAACGGAAAGGCCCUGCUUUUGUGGGGUGCUCGAGUGGCGAACGGGUGAGUAACACGUGAGUAACCUGCCCUUGACUUUGGGAUAACUUCAGGAAACUGGGGCUAAUACCGGAUAGGAGCUCCUGCUGCAUGGUGGGGGUUGGAAAGUUUCGGCGGUUGGGGAUGGACGCGCGGCUUAUCAGCUUGUUGGUGGGGUAGUGGCUUACCAAGGCUUUGACGGGUAGCCGGCCUGAGAGGGUGACCGGGCACAUUGGGACUGAGAUACGGCCCAGACUCCUACGGGAGGCAGCAGUGGGGAAUAUUGCACAAUGGGCGGAAGCCUGAUGCAGCAACGCCGCGUGCGGGAUGACGGCCUUCGGGUUGUAAACCGCUUUCGCCUGUGACGAAGCGUGAGUGACGGUAAUGGGUAAAGAAACACCGGCUAACUACGUG